AACGAACGCUGGCGGCGGGCUUAACACAUGCAAGUCGAACGGAUGUAGCAAUACAUUAGUGGCGCACGGGUGAGUAACGCGUGGGAACGUGCCCUUAGGUACGGAACAACCUCGGGAAACUGAGGCUAAUACCGUAUAAUAUCUUCGGAUCAAAGAUUUAUCGCCUAAGGAUCGGCCCGCGUUGGAUUAGGUAGUUUGUGAGGUAAAGGCUCACCAAGCCGACGAUCCAUAGCUGGUCUGAGAGGAUGAUCAGCCACACUGGGACUGAGACACGGCCCAGACUCCUACGGGAGGCAGCAGUGAGGAAUAUUGGACAAUGGAGGAAACUCUGAUCCAGCCAUGCCGCGUGAGUGAAGAAGGCCUUCGGGUUGUAAAGCUCUUUUACCCCUGACGAUAAUGACGGUAAGGGGAGAAAAAGCCACGGCUAACUUCGUGCCAGCCGCCGCCGUAAUAC
rnacentral:rRNA from 1 species